GGUGGCGCGUAGGGUGGGGGCAGCAUGUGGAACCCCCUGGCUGCCCCACAUGCCGCUGCUUCUGGGAGUCACAGUGCACACAGAGUGGGGCAAGCUCCUGACCCUGUUCCCCAGCGGGAGCUUGAGGGCAGGAUUAAAACGUCUGAAAGGCUGGAUGCAGCCCUUGGGCCAUAGUUUGUCCACCCCUGUUCUAGAGUCCUGGCCAAGAAUCUAAAGGAGGGGCAGGAGGAGGAGACAUUACAGGUGCUUUUUGCUUGAUUGACCUUAGAAUGUUUGUUACUGCUUGCAUCCACCUUUCUGCUUGUAACCCCCUCUCCCUGCUUUAUGUGCUUGGCCCAUGGCUACCACCUGGCACUGUGGCUUCAGAGUUUUCCAAGAUGUCUGAGUGGCGAAGAAGUCCAGCGAUGUGAACAUUAGGAAGGAUUUGGCAGCCCGGCAAUACCCUUAAGAUUCUCUGGCACGCAUGCUGCAUGAUGCCUGACAGUACCACGGGACUGAACAUCUCUUCAAAGGAGAAGUUUCACAUCUGAGAUGAAAGUCCAGUGGAGGGGACAGGACCAAGUGAUCUCUCUCCUCCCUGGUCACCAUAGCAGCAGGGAAUCUCCUCCCUCCCCCACAGACAUGGGCUGCAGUGAAGAAUAAUAUCCCAACCCGCAACGGAAACCAGUGAGCAGUUGUGGAUCAGUGUUUGCAAUGGCCAGAACUUUAUUAUUAAUUAUUUGGGGUAUGCUGUGCCUAGAAGCCCCAGCUGAGAUCCAGAUCCCUGUGUACAUACAUGUAGUCCCUGCCCUGAAGAGCUUACAAACUGAACAGAUAAAACGGACAAAAGAAGUUGUACUGUCCCUGUUCUAUGGUUGAAGAAAUGAGGCACGGAGGGGUUCGGUGACUUUCCCCAGGUCACACAGGGAAGAAGUAUGUGGCAGAGCUGGGAAUGGAACUUGGGUACCUUCCUCUCAAUUUUAAUAACAGGCCCACGAGGCCUUACAAGUCUAGACAUAGCAGCAGCAGUGGAGAAAUUCCACUACAAUACUCACUGGCACCAAACAUUGACUAGUUGGUGGGAGAGUGGAUGGGCGUGGUGGGUUCCUGGUGUCUACUAUAUCUCAUGUUCUGUUUGUGUCGUGCAUAGAGAGAAAUGGGAUUCCCAUAAACUGACAAUGCCACUGUGACACCCUGGCACCCCCUUAUUUACCACUAUCCUGUAAUUAGGUUAUGUUUUGUACAGAGUAUGCCUUGUGAGGUCUCAUUCUAAAAGUAUUGAUCUGCUAGACAUUAAUAUCUCAUUGGAUUGUAUGUG